UACGUAGGGUGCGAGCGUUACUCGGAAUUACUGGGCGUAAAGCGUGCGCAGGCGGUUUGCUAAGACCGAUGUGAAAUCCCCGGGCUUAACCUGGGAACUGCAUUGGUGACUGGCGGGCUAGAGUAUGGCAGAGGGGGGUAGAAUUCCACGUGUAGCAGUGAAAUGCGUAGAGAUGUGGAGGAAUACCGAUGGCGAAGGCAGCCCCCUGGGCCAAUACUGACGCUCAUGCACGAAAGCGUGGGGAGCAAACAGG
rnacentral:rRNA from 1 species